AUUCGGUUACUGUAUCGGGCCAUGGAUAGUCGGAGAAUUGGUAAAGGGGUUUUGGUGUCUGCAGCGUAGUACUCCCAAUAGUCUUAGUCCACACGCCACCAAUGCUACUCUCUGACUCGAACACAAUGGGAUCAAAUCCUUUAGAAAGGCAGUAUUUGCAGGCCAAUAGGCCGCUUAUUCCAGCUCCAACAAUCGCUAUCACCUGCUCCUUUUUGCUUUCUCUGCCAUAUUCAGAAUUUGCCAUUGUGCUGUUACUGCCUGACCACGGUUCCGCACUUCCUCUCUCCUUUGCUUUUUUUUUUUCUGUUAUAAUGUGAGGAUGAUGGAUGGAUAGAUAGCUAGGCGGCUUGAACUGCCCUUUAUAGAGAGAGAGAUACGGAAUGAGAUAAUAGUUUCAUUUAUUGCAUGCCUCAUUUACUGGUAUUUCGGCCUAGAAAGUCCAAAUCGCAUAUCCUUUUCAAAAAGUGUUCAUAAAAUUGAGUCACGUAACCAAGCUUUUCGGAGAUAAAAAGGAUAUUUGUACUAUCUACGGUAGAGGGACGACUAAGAAUAAAAUAGGAAUUUUACAAUGAUAAAAAUCACUUCUUUUCAUACUCUAGAACCAUUCGGUUCUUUCUUUAGCCUGUACCUCAACAUACCCAGCAUUACUCUCAAACAAAAACUCUCUGUUUCUCUGGUGCCACCCCCCACCCACCCAUCGUCCUCUGCCGCUUCCUCCGUCGCAACCACCGCCAUUGUCUUCCUCCGAUGAAAACUCCAGCAAGUGGCGUAGCAUCUUCAGUUUUCUUAAUGUAUCGGUAACGGGAAUAGACACAAACGGUAUUUUCAGCGGAAUUCCGUUAUGAUCCGUUGUGUUAUUCGUUGAAUUUUAAAAAUGAAGCGAACUUCACCAACUUCUCUUCUAGACUUCCUAUAUCGCCGGUGGUGGUGACGGAACCGACGACGGUGAAGAUGAAGCAUUUGAAGUGUUUUAUUUUGUUUAGUAUUUGUGUUUGUGAUCGGUUAUUUUUUAUUGCAAAUUUUCAUUAAUAGAUUAAUUGAUCUAUAUAAGAACUUUUUAGUUGACGUUUUUUGUUUUGAUUUCCUCUUUGAUAACAUUGAAUUUUUAUUUUAUGAGCUAGAUAUUUUUAGAAGUUUUAUUUUAUGAGAUAGAUAUUUUUAGAGUAUUUUUCAUUUUUCAAAAAGAAAACUAUUACUAUAAAAUAAACAUCAUAAAGCUCACAAUCCGUAUGUUUAAAGAUAAAAUUCAAAACUAUUAUAAUACGUGAAAUAAUGAAUAGUGAUAACUAUAAAAAUAUAUGUCACAAAUUCUUACUUUUUGGAAUUAAUAAGAUAACAAUUUAUUUAACAUGAUGGUUGUAGGUAGGCAUGGGAUAUUGAUACACCCGUGGCCUCACCCGCAUGCGAGUGAAGUGAUGCAGACAGAUAAGAUAAUAGAGAUUGUACAAAGGGAGCAGAGCUUAUAGUAUGGUGUUAAGAAUUAAUCCAAGGGAUGUGAUUGUUGUAACACCUACGUAUGUGAGGACUUUUCAGAAAUUGCAUCUUACUGGUGUGAUGCAUUCUUUGAAGAUUAUUCAUAUUGGAUUACGCGAAAAGAUGCCUGUUUUUUUGGGAAGAUUGCCAUAAAUUGGAGGCGAAAAUGAGACUUCGCGCUUUGAGGUAUGUACCGAGCUUCUUGAUACAAAUAGCAUAGCAUGAGUCAUCAAAAUUUAGCAAAUAUUUAGCAACAAAAAGUUAUGAAAUGAAACAAUAUGAACUUUUCAAUCAAAAAGAAGAGAAAUUUUAGUCUCUAGAGAAAUAAAUUCAUUUGAAUUUACUGAAAAUAGAGCGCAUAGAAGUUAGUUUAAUCAAGACAAAAUAUUCACCAAUACAUGAAUCUAAUAAGAUAAUUUGCUACUAUUCAAAUAAAAGGAAUACCGAGAACUCAAGUUGGAACAUUUCCUACGCACAACUACAACAACUAAAAUGAUUUAUUCAUGUAUGCAUAAUUCGGUAGUGUGAGAUAUAUAUAGAUUAGUUUGUCUCAUUAUCUCUCAUUUUUUAGCACAUUAUUACUACACAUUAAUAAAAUUAAUUAAGAUUGAAUGUGAUAGAAUACAUAAAUACAUAUUAAAAUCUCUAAUAAAGAAGGUAAUCAUAGUAGGAGGUGAAAAAUUGAUGAAUUGAAUAAUUAACUUUUGAAUUAUGAAAAAUAAACUAAAUAGAUAAAUGAAGAAGAAAUUGUCAAAAAAUGAGAAAAAAAAUAAAUAAAAAUGGAGGUUCCAGUGCUACAUCACCUUCUCUAUAUUUCUUCGUUAUUAUUAUUAUCUAUAGAUUUAGUUUAAUACAAAUCAAUCACAUAAAUUAUAGAGAAAGAUAAAAACAAUUAAAAAUAAAUAAUAAAAAGAGAAAAAAGAUAAAUUGUCUUCUUGUACAUUAACUAAUUGAGGAUUAUGAAUAUAAAGGCUUGAGAGUUACGGACCUUACUGAUAUUUAAGAUUAGAAUUUAUGAAAUUGAAUAAAUGAAUUAAGGACAUGAUUUUGUAAAAUAAAUAAUUGAAUGAAAUGAAAAAAAAAAUCAAAAAAGGUGUUACAUCAUUCUCUCUCUCUCUCUCUCUCUCUCUCUCUCUCUCUCUCUCUCACACACACACACACAUCCUCACCAUAUUUAGACAUUGAAAUACCCUUUUUCUUCCGCUGUCAAGGUAGAUGGAGCCGAGUAGGCUACCGCCAGCAAGCUCAUAAUAAUAAUAAUAAUAAUAAUAAAUUUAGUGUAAAGCAAAUUAAUUAAAAUGUCAAAAGAAUAAUACACGAAGAAGAAGAAGAAGAAAAGAAUAGGGAGGAUAUUUUAGAAGGUACACAAAUGAAUCUUUUUAAGAGAAUAUAUGUAAGUUCAAAAAAUAUAUAGUGAAUAAAAUAUAUUUAAUUUUGUUGAUGGGGGAAGAAGCCUUAUAAUGCUUCUAUUUAUAGGACAACAAUAUGGAAUAUGAAAUGAAAUCAUGAAAGGAGUUAUGAUCAUCAAAGGUCAUGAGAGUGAUAAAAUAAAAAACAUUAAACUUUUAUAUUAAAGGAUAUAAAUAAAUGUAGGAGUAGUGAUUGAUUCAUGUAUUUUAAUUAUUAAACAAAUUGAUUGAUAAAUCAAAAAACGAAAAAAAAAAUUCAAGAAAACCACAAAAAAGGAUAAAUAGCUUUUCUUGAUUCUUAGACAUGCCACAUAGGAUAGACUAAUACUCUUAUAUAUAUAUAUAUAUAUAUAUAUAUAUAUAUAUAUAUAUAUGGAACCUUAUUAGUGAUAUUUAAACUGAUCACACAACCUCUUUCUUAUAUGAUGGGGCACAUACUUCCCCAAGAAAGCCUUCGUGAAAUAUGCUUAGGUUAUUAGAGGUGACCCAAUUAGCCUAUAGUCAAGAUAAAAUAUCCAUCACUAUUUAGAUGGCCCCUCCAUAUAAAAUAUAGUGUAGCUAUCUCAUACUGCUCCACUAAAUUAAAUUUAUGUAAUCUCUCCCAAUUGCUCACCAAAAACUCAUGAGUAUCCUCUCCUAGAGCACCAAAAAACCUCGAAGGAUCUAAUCUAAUAAAAUAACCAAGUAUUUGUUUCUCUACAAAAGUUAUUGCUUAUCUAGUUACAGUAUAUUGAGUAAUAACUGACACAAAAAACACCUCAAGAUGAGGACUUAUAAUAGUAGGUUGUGAUUUUUAACCCCGAACACCCUAAGUUGUUGAUUGGGUAAAAUUUUAUGUCUCUUCUUUAAUCUGAGAAUUGUUAAGUAUUCAACAACCCUCUGCCUAUGGCAUACCCUCUAGAGGGCUUGGAAUUAUAAUCAUAGUAUCCUGGAGGACUAGCGAAUCGAUAUAUCAAAUUGAACCUAGGUUAGUUUCUAUUUUAGGUAGUUGAUCCUUAAAUGCUAUCUCUGGAUCAGGUAAUAACUAUCUAGCCUGGCCUUAAUCUAGUGUUGUAACUUGUCUAGAGUCAUCCUUUGGGCUGACUUUUACCAAAAAUCAUAGAUGGGUACAUAGUUGUAGGUGAUGAAGCCUCAUAAUCACCUAUUACCAACUUUUUCCUUUCCAUCUACAAAAGAGUUAAAUAAUUGAUAUUUACAAGGUGAUAGGAGUAAGAACGCAUGCUUAAAAACUAAAAAGGUAGAGUUUUUCUAAGAAUUAUCUAUAGACUGCCAAAGAUAUGAUACAUACGACAUAGUACUAAUCCAUAGGACUCUACUAUGCACUUUCUCUUAUACUAGUAAGAUUGGUGAACCUAUAUCUCUAAUACCAUGCAGUCAUGACCCAAAAUUGGACCAUGGUGACACCUACAACUCUCUGACCAUUCAGGUCAUUUUUCAUAUUGUCCACUUAUUUUUGUUGUUAGAGAUUUUCCAUAACUAUCUUAAAAUAUUUAUGACUUAUUGGAACUGAUAGUUUGGUUAUCAGGCAGUUUGUUUAGUUUUAGGACCAAUUCUCUAUUAAGCAGUCUUCGCUAGUUCUGAAUGGCUACCGAGUAAAAACUUCUGUUAAACAACCCUAGAUACAAAUCUAAAAUAUCUAUUUUAGGAUAUAAAGACCCUUGGUUUAUGUCCAAGACAACCAAAUUCAUUUUGAAUAAUUGGUCGGAAAGUGAGAAAAAUGAUAGACAUGGGUGUAAGGCCUACAAUUAAUCUAAAUGGUCUUAAAUAGAAAAUCCAACUUCACCCAUACAUAUGGAAUGCCAAAUUUAGUAGGGUUACAUAGUUAGUGUUUGAAAAAAGACUUCAAAUAAGUCUGGAAGGUCAAAAAUAAGUUUUGACCUCACAGACCCUAUUUAACCGCGACCAAGGUACUAUAAAUAGCCCUCGCACUAAUGAGCAUGAUAUGAAAGGUCAUUGAACACGUAAUUGCUGUGCGACCUAAUUUGAUAUAAGUUUUGUAAAUCCUCUAUCAAAAUAAAGAAAUCUAAAGUGAUGGCUCACUUGACCUUUCAAAGUGAUGCUGAGGUCUGUCAUGUAAAUAUAAUAAAUUUUAUAGCGCGAGAAUGAGCUUCUAAUGAAAAUUUAUGAAGCAUGUGAAUAUGAUUAUAAUUCAUUCCUUGAAGAGAAUGAGAUUUGUGAUAAGCAUCGUUAAUACUCGACCAUUCUUGAAAUAAAUCUGUCAAGAUGAGAUAAAAAUUAUUAAUAAGGAUGUGUUGAUGCAUGGUUGGAUAAGUGUCACAUCUCACCUCUGCGGAAGGUUUGAGAAAAAUAAAGAAAAUUUUAUUUUGACAGAAACAAUCAUUGAUCGUGUACUUGUAGUAUGUCAUAAAUAUUUUUGAUAUAUUUAUUAUGGAUUGUCAAAGGGUACACGCAAGAAACAAGUCUUGCCUAUAUAAUAUUUUAUGAUUAUGGUCGUACUUAUAUGAUUUUCCCCUUGAAGGAGAUGUUCACCAUGUGAAUGGUAUGUGAAAUAUGUGUAGUACACAAAAUUAAUUGAGAGCUCCAAAAGAGCUUAAGUGUUAUUAUCUGGAGGAAUGAAAUUGUUCAUAAUAUUGAGAUUGUUGUAAGUCUCAAAAGAAACUUAUUAAGUUUCAAACAUCCUAUCAAAAAUAAAUUAUAUUGAGACUAUAAUAAUGAAAAGAUGUUAUAUGUUUAUAUUAUUACAAUCAACGUGGGUAAGGCCAUCCGUGCUUUUCUUUUUAUUGUAAUACACAAAUAUGUGCAUGAUGACAGAAUCACAUGCAAUAGUGAAUUAAAAAUUUUAUUGAAACAAAUAUCAAUUGGUAUGAUGGUUGACCAUCCCGGUUCAAAUGUGAUGCAAAAGUAAGUGAGAAUUCAUAUGGUCAUAUAUUAAAGAAAUAAAAGAUUCUUCAUGAAUUCUCUUGUGUUGCUUGUUCUCACAAUGAAUUGAUUAUUGUACCAGCUAAGGUUGGGGAUGUAUUUCUUAAAUUUUUGGAACAUAUAAAAAGGUGAAUAUGGGCCCGUUCGCCUGCCAUGUGGACCGAUUGCUAUUAUAUAGUUUAAUAGAUGCAUCUUGAUAUGGUCACAUGUGAUUUUCUAUUAACUUGCAAUUUGAUUUUUGCAAAGUUGUUUGCUCGAACAAAGCUCUCCCAAAAGAAAUUUGAUAUGAGAUGUGCCAUUCAAAAUAUAGCAGCAGCAUUCAUAUGUAUCAAGCCAACAAAGCUCCCCUAUUACUAUUGGUUCAAGGUCAAGAACCAGAUAAAUUUCAUCUAAAAAAAUUUUAGUGUGCGGCAUAUGAUGCAAUUGCUUCAUCACAAUGCACAAAUAUGAAUUCCAAGAUAAAGUUGAGAAUAAAUGUUAGAUUUUCUAACAUUAGGAGGAGAGUUGAAUAACAGUUGAAAAUUAUGCAUGAAAUGAAUUAUCUAGAUCCUCAUAAAAAUGUAUAUGUGAACUUGAAGUUCAAGAGAUAAUUUAUUUGCAAAAUGUUGCAAACUAAUUGUCAGAUAUGUUUGUUAACUCUAUAUGAUAAUUUAACUGUAAAAUGUUCAAAUGAAAAGUCCGUAAAAGGACAGAGUUUAUGACACGCCUGAAGAGUAAUAGACCAAUUGGUUCCAAAGAUAAAAUUUCUUGAAGAAGGAAAGGAGCAAAUGAUCAAGAUGGUCAUGAUAAUGAGGCAAGUGCUUUGGCACCGACAUAACACUUCAUAAAACCUUGGCAAAGGUUCAGGUACCUAAAUAAGUAAUGAAAAUGAAGAGAUCUUCAUUAAGUUAUGUCUUAUUGGAACCUAUAUCAAUCAAUCGUCGAUGAUAUCUUUGAGAUAAUAUAGCGUUCAAUAUUAUAAAUAGUAUCGAAGAUCUUGGAUACAAAUCUGUCAAAGAGUAUGGACAGAUAAAUUAUUGGCCAAAUAAAAGUAUAUAAUUCAAGUAGUUUAUUUUAUUUGAAAAGUGAAUAUUUGGACUCAUAAUUCAAAGACCAGAGGUAUAAUGUCAGUGGGUACAAAUGAUUUACUAUGUAAAUGUAAAAUUCGAGUAUGACUUGUGCCUUGGGGCAUAAAGAUUUCACAAAGUUUCUGGUGUUAUUUUAGAAAAAUUAUUCUCCUGUGGUGGAUGAAAUAAAGUUUGUUUCAGUCUGACAAUAUUGAAAAGUUUGAAUACAUAUAAUAAAUUAUUGUCAUGUCUAGUUAGAUGACAAAAGUUAUAUGAAAAUUCUUGAAGGAUUUAAAAUGUUAUAAAGCGAUUCUAUUGGAUACCCCAUGAUUAUAAAGAUCACUUAACUUGAAAACAAAUCAAUUUUGAUCUCAUGGAAAUGAUUGGUAAGUAUUAUGUUUUAGUGCAGUUGGUGCACUUAUGAAUUGCGGAUCAUCAUUAAUAAAAAUAAAGUGUGUUUUAAAUAAUGUGAGUAUAAUGCAAGCAUUGCACUCUUUUUUCUUAGCUGAGGUUUUAUCCCACGGGAUUUUCCUGGCAAAGUCUUUAAUGAAGCAACUAACAAUGCGCACUACUGGAUAUAUACUCGGAGUGUUUGACAAAUAAAAUAUUUGUACAUUGAUGAACAUACAUUGAAAAGACAUAAAAGGAUGCAUCUUGAUAAGCAUAACACUUAUUUGAUUUGCAGUCCAGACACUUGAACAUGUCACAGAUGAAAUGCUGAAUAUUAUCACUUGACAAAAUUUGCAUGAAAACUUGCUAAGGAUUCAAAAUAUUUGAAGCAUAUAAAAGUUUCUGAGAAACUUAUCUAUAAUCCUUAUAUUGCAUAAAUCUAUAACUUGAAAAUUAUUGGAACUCUUGAAGAGUUUUCAAAAACAAUAGAUUAUUUUCUGACAUGGGAAAUAUGCCGAAAUGAAUUGAUUAUGAAGUACCCCUAUUUUAUAUGAAGAUAAUGCAGCAUGCAUAGCACAAUUAAAGAGUGGAUUCAUAAAAGGAGAUAGAACAAAGCACAUUUCGCCAAAACGUUUCUACACGCAUGAACUCCAAAAUAAUGGUGAUAUUGAUGUUCGACAAGUUCGUUCAAAUGACAAUUUAGCAGAUCUAUUCACCAAAGGAUUGUCAAUCUCAACAUUUGAGAAGAUGAUAUACAAGAUUGGGAUGCGACAUCUUCGAGAUGUUAAGUGAUGUUUUAAUCAGGGAGAGUAAGUACACACUGCACUCUUUUUUCCUUAGUCAAGGUUUUGUCCCAUUGGGUUUUUCUUGAUAUGCCUUAAAGAAUACAUGUAAGGUGUUUGAUAAAAUGCCUAGGAUGUUAGAAGUUCAUAUUUACAUGAUUUUAUGAUAUCUAAAUGACAAUUCCAUGCUAGCGAUACACUUCAAUAUGAAUGCGCAUGAUAUUUAUGUAUUCUUAUGGUGAUGGCAUAAAGUAUGUAUGAGAUGGAAAUUUGAAUUUUGUGUGCAAAUUAUAUCCAUGAUUUCCCUACCAUGUUUGAGGUGUUGAUUAAAUACACGAAAUAUACUAUCCCCUACUUAUGAUAUAGCGAAUUGUGGACUCCAAUCUUGUGAUCAAGUCAUGUCAUGUGUGUCAAUUUUCUUCUAUCGAGUCCUAGGCGUAUUCGUACCCGAAAAAUAUAGUUUUGUGCCUAAAGCCAUGUCAGGUUGUCACGAUAAUCUCAGUCAAGCUAUAAUCUAUAGAGUUCAGUCAGUCAUGUGACUCAGGAAACCUCAAAAAUCCCAUGAUCCCAGCUAACUCUCAGAUAAUAGUACUACUCCGUCAGUCAAUGAAAGUCAGUUAAUCUGUCCAUGUACAGUCAGUUGAAUCAUGUUUAGUCUCUUCAGAUGAGAGUAAGAGUUAGCACUGAGUGAUCCCAAGGAUGGGAACUCACCUAUAUAUGAGGGUGUGAUUCUUAGCAGUCAUCCUUGUGUUCCAGAACUAUGUAGCCAGCAUAGGUUGAGACAUCGCAGCCUGUUAUAUGAGGGUAGAUGAGGUGGCUUAACCUGUUAUAUGAGGGUUCCCACCGUUCCCACUAGAGUUACCUAUUAUAUGAGGAUUGCUCACAUGUUGUCCUUACCAGUGGCGCGGUAUUGACACCCUUCCAGUCAGGGCAGAGAUUGGACCCCAUCUUAGCCAUAAUGGCACAUAUGGGGCAUGUCGGUUAAACAACUACCUCCCACAGUUUCAGACUCAGUCUCAGUAAAAGAACUCAGAUAGUUCUUCAGAAAUCAGUAUACCGAGACUGUCAGAUACAGUCAAAUUCAGUUAUAGUGCGGAACUCAGUUAGUUUCAUCAGAUUUAAGACUGUCAGAUACAGUCGCCCAUGUCAUCAGAACUAUAGUUUCAACCAUGUCAGUUAUCAGUAAACCGUGUAUUAGCGUACAGAUCGAGCUAUCACGUACUCACGACCUUAGUUACUAUGUAUGUAUGUUUACACUCUCACGUUCAUAUCAGUCAGUCAGUUAGCAACGUUCAUGCAUGUAAACCCUUUUGCAUUAGCCUGCCUCACUCGUAUACUCAGUACUCCAGUUGUACUAAUGCAUUUGCGCUAUGAUGCUUUCUUUCAUGUUAUACCAUAGGUUCAGAGACAAGAGCUCCAGAUCAGCAGUAGCUUCCAGCCGCAGAGUUGCAGUGAGUCCUCAUCUAUUCGAGGGUGAUAUUAUUUUAUUUCAUUUAUUAUUUCAGCUCAGUUUUGCUAGACGGAGUUUGUUGGAGACAUGUUCCUUCAACUCCUUAUUCAGACAGUACUUAGAGGCUUUCAGAUUCAGUAUUCAGACUUAUGUUCAGAUUUGAUUCAGUUUUCAACUGUUUUGGGUAUCUUUCACCCAUAUGGAUAUUAUGUUUUGACAGAUUCUUUAUUCAGUUAAACCUUAUGGCCACAUGUUCAUGUUUUUCGCAUUAUUACGUUACAUAUGCAGUGUACAGGUACAGAUAUCAGUCAUGGAUUAGUUUGUGGUUCCUCGGAUUCAUGAGCACCGUGUAGCAUUUCGAUUUUAAAAAAUAGGGGCGUUACACCACCCCACCCCCGCCGUCCACCACCGUCAUUAACGCUCCUUCCUCACUAUUCUCAUACGCCAAAACACAAUCACACAACAUAUUCACUCAAAUCCCCAUCUUCCUCCUCUUCCUCUUCUAAUUCAUCAUCAGAUUCUUCAUUUUUUACAUCUUCAACUUUGUGGGUUUCUCUAAAUUGACAGGAAGUUCAGCCAUUUAUGGAAUCUUGAAGAUUUUUUACGGCGGAAGAUGGUGGCGCUGACAGUUAUAGGAGCAGGAAGGUUUUGGGAAAAUAGACAAUAAUUUAUUUAUUUUUAUUUGUUUAAGGUGAUUUUUAAUUGGGUCGAAUGGGCAUAUGACCAUGACAACUCUCCUGCUUCUUCAUCUUAUUCUUCCAAUUUUUUAAUUUUUACAUCUUCACGAUAUACACAUACACACAACCACCACCAUUAACGCCCCACCCCCACAGCCCCAUGGAUCUCUCUUCGUCUUCUUUUUCUUCUUCAUCACAUAUCCCAAAUUCUUAGAAAAAGUAAGAUGUUUUUGCUGUGGUUGAUUUGUUGUUGUUGUUCAUUGUAAAAAAAAUAAAAUUAUCGUGGUUGAUUUGUUGUUGUUGUUCAUCUUCGUGGUUGAACUUCAGUCGUGGUUGAUUUUAUUGUUGUUGUUUUAAUUUUUAAAUUUUUUUUAUUAACUUUCUCAAUUGAAAUAUUUUGUUUUGUUUGACAUUAUAUUUAUAACUUUUACAAAUUGUUAAGGAUAUUUAAAUAAAAAUUGAAAAUUCAUUAUGUUUGUGUCAGUGAAUUUAUACUUAAAAUCUUAAAUUAAUUGGAGAAAAAUUUCAAUUAUUUGAUGUUUAAUUAAAUUUAUUGUGUUUGUGUAUUAAAAUUUAUAGUUGAAAGUUUAAAUUUAUAGUUGAAAAUUUAAAUUAAAAUUUAUUGUAUUUGUGUAUUAGAAUUUCUACAAUUUAUAAAAGGAAUUUAUUUAAUUAAAUUUAUUUUAAUAUUUAAUUAAAAAUAACAUAAAAUUUAAUGUAACUCUUAAAAAUGACGUGGCGGCUGAUGUGGCAGCUGACGUGGGCAAAUAAAUUUAGUGUAAUACUAAAAAGUGAUGUGGAAGUUGACGUGGCAGCUAACGUGGCGCGGUUGUGUUACACACACCGUCAGAGGGAUUUAAAAUGUUGCUUUUUAAUGGGUUCAAGGGUCCAAAUGACAAACAUGUAAGUAGAAGUGUCCACAUUACAAAACGGAUAUAGUACAAGGAUCCACCGAACCAUUUUGCCUUUAAUUUAUAUUUCGAUAAUUUCUUCAAGUGAAAAUUUAUAUUUCGUUAAUUUCUUUAAAGAUUAAAAAGAUGUAAAGUGAAAAUACCUUUUUAGAAUAAAUGUAUGUUUAUUUUCCAAAUCAAAUUCAACCAAUUUAUAUUAUAAUUCAAAUACUUUUUUUCAUUAUCUUAUUUUAAAAUUAAAAAAUACUUUUAUGUAAAAAAAUUAAAGUAUAAGGAUUAAAAAGUUAAAGUUAGGGUUUAAUUCAAUCGAAAUAAUUUAAUUUCGUUAAGGGGAUGGGUAUUUUUUAGCCAAAUAUUUAACAGAGGGAUAUUUAACGAAAUUAAAUUAUUUCGAUUAUUUCGUUAAUUUAUAUAAAGUUCGUCAUUUAAUUUUUAUUUAGUUAAUUUCUUUAAGUGAAAAUUUAUAUUUCAUUAAUUUCGUUAAUUUAUAUUUCGUUCAUUUCUUUAAAGAUUAAAAAGAUAUAAAGUGAAAAUACCUUUUUAGAAUAAAUGUAUGUUUAUUUUUCAAAUCAAAUUCAACCAAUUUAUAUUAUAAUUCAAAUACUUUUUUUUAUUAUCUUAUUUUUAAAAUUUUAAAAAUACUUUUAUGUAAAAAAAAAUUAAAGUAUUAAGGUUAAAAAGUUAAAGUUAGGGUUUAAUUCAAUCGAAAUAAUUUAAUUUCGUUAAGGGGAGGGGUAUUUUUGAGCCAAAUAUUUAACAGGGGUAUUUUUGACCCAUUUCAGAUAGUUCAGGGGUAUUUUUGAUCCUUUUUCAAAUUCCAUCAGAGGAAGGGGUAUAUUUGAGCCAAAUAUUUAACAGAGGGGGUAUUUUUGAGCCAAAAAUCUAACGAGUGCAUUUUUAAGCUAUUUCAGAUAGUUCAGGAGUAUUUUUGAGCCUUUUUCCGUAACAAAUAUGAUAUUAUAUUAACAACCAUCACAAGCAUGCAGAAAAGCUUGAACAUAAAAAACAUAGGAAAAGAGAAUCCGUUAUUCUUGAAAUAACAGGGAUGGCCCUGGGGCUGUUGUAUUAGACAGAGUAAUCCAGGGGUCCAUAAGGUUCAAACCACUCAGCCCACAAUCCCCUUUUCCUUUUAGGAUUCCAUCCCAUGUCCUUGCAGAGUUGGUCGUUGUGCCAAAUAUGCAAUGCACCGAUGCAUGAUCUCCUGUAGUACUUCUUUGAGUAUCUCUUCUUGUAUUUAUCCCAUUCUGCUAUGUCUUUCUCCAUCAUCUUGAUGUCAGGCAGCUUAAACUUUCCAUCAAGAAACUCCGCCAGCCAUCGGCAUCUUAUUUCCGAUGUGAAUAGAUUAGCUAUGCUUUCUGAGAAUCCAAUUAUUGCCAGUUGUGGAAUUCGGGGAUGAAUGCAUUCCCUGAUAAAUAUGAUUAUUUUCACGUGAGAUAUAUAGUUCUGGUGCAUGUCCACGAAAAAUACAUACUUAUUACUCACCUAUAGAGGGGAACUGCAAAAUCAUCUGAGCCUGCUAUGAAUUCUUGAUAUUUUGGUGAUUCAAAAAUGUGUUUGAGCUUCUCAAUUCCUUUGAAGCCAGUAGCGAGUAUGACUAAGUCGGAUUUUAUUGGCUCAGCCUGACCGUCAAGCACGAUACCUUCUUUCGAGAAUCCAAAAUUCUCUGCUUUCUUGAUGAGCUUUAUACUUCCUUCCUCUACUCUGUCAUAGAAGCCCUCUGGCACGGUAGAAAUUAAACACGAACUCAAUUCGUUUAAGAAACUAUGCUCUGGCACCAUCCCGUGUUUUGAAAGCUUGAGCUUGUGUCUUAUAUGGCUUUCCACAAAUUUUGAGAACGCCCAUCUCUAUACAAUUUGAGCAAAAUAGAUCAAUAUAAUACUACAUGCAUGUACCACAACAUCCAUAUUAAUUGGAGUAGUCAUUUUAACUUUAGUCAGUAUCAUAUGAACAAAUUACCAGAGGUGAGAAAAUUGUAGCCAAGAGAUGCAAAAGAAGGCCUUCACCGGGUUUAUGCACCGUAAGUUCUGAGAAUCGAUUUAAAUACAGAUUAGCCAUAGGGAAUCCCCACGGGAAAUAAUCAGGAACGUUCCAAUGUGGUGUCCUGAUUACAACUGAGCACGGACGUUCAACCCCUGCAACAUUAAUUGUUUGUUAACAAUAAAGAGGCACAAAGGUAAUGGAAGAUCACAAGUAGCAUGCAUCUCAGUAGCAGAUUUGGAGCAUAUGAGUUUCUGUAGCAGUGUAAGUUUCAGAUCCUGGAUUCGCCUCUAGUACAACUUACCGUUGACUGUGGAGCAUUCCAUGGCAAUGUCCAUUCCUGAUUUUUGGAACCCAACUAUGGCUACAUGUUUUCCUUUGACAAAGUUUGCUGCAGCUGCGGAGUCCAUUUUGGAAUAAUCCAUUGAAUGGAUUACUUCGCCUUCAAAAGUUUGGGGUCCUUUGUUGGGAGGAAAUUCAGGGAUGUUUGGAACCUGGCUGAACCUUCCCAAGCAAACUAUUACAAAAUCAACUUUGUAUACCUGCACACAAGUUCAACCAACCAUGAAAGAGAUGACAUAUGAGGGAUCGAUUAUGAGAGCUUGACUGAUCAUAUGGGGAAGAAGAGAGAGAAAGAAGUUAAUUGAUAUUGGAAAGAUGUUCACUUAGGGGGGAAUACUUUUCAAGUCAAGUAAGUCGCCAAGAAAUGGAGUUACCAACAGAAGAUGAGCACUAGAGAGAGAAGAUAGUACGAAAGAACAAGUAGAAAAUUGUAUAAGUUGAAAGAGAGGUAUGAUUAAAGAGAACAAAAGUGAAACUGUAUGCGUCUCAUUUAAAGCCAAAGAAGAGUCUUAAUUGGAGUACGAAAGAACAAGUAGAAAAUUGUAUAAGUUGAAAGAGAGGUAUGAUUAAAGAGAACAAAAGUGAAACUGUAUGCUCCAAUUCCACACAUCUAUUUCGAAUUUUAGCAACUUUAAAUGCUCUACUUGAAAGUUGAAAACGUCUUCCCCACAAAUUACUAAGAAAAUAUGCAUUCCGCAGCUUGUACUCUUCUACUAAAUUUCAGGUAAUAAAAUUAAUAUAUUUAACUUGAACAUCAAUAAUUUGGAAGGAUGGUUAAUUACCUGUGCGGAUAGGGUUCGAGUGUCCUGUACAGUGACGUUCCAUUUCCCUUUACUGCUAAAUGCCUCUUCCCACAAAUUACAUUCUCCGUCAUUAUUAUCUUCUUCAUAACUGAGGCUCAAUACUUUGUUGUUAAACUGAAUGUGUCGGACCAAAUCAAAGUGAUUUGCGUACGAUUCAAUGUACUCCAACAUCGUUUGCUGGUCAGGGAACAAUUCGGUUACUGUAUCAGGCCAUGGAUAAUCAGAGAAUUGGUAAAAGGGUUUUGGUGUCUGCAGCUUAGUACUCUCAACAGUUUUAGUCCACACGCCUCCAAUGCUACUCUCCGACUCGAACACUAUGGGAUCAAAUCCUUUAGAAAGACAGUAUUUGCAGGCCAAUAGGCCGCUUAUUCCAGCUCCAACAAUCGCUAUCACCU
rnacentral:lncRNA from 1 species